UCUAAAACCGUACGAAUAUUAUUUGAGUUUUAACAUUGAUGGUUUGGUUGUUUAAGUUAAUGAUCUCAAGGUCAUGAAGGUCAUUUGAUAUUUUUAAUUUACAUUUUAUAAUGUAAAUUCGGGUUUUCGCAAGAUUUCAAAAUUUGCACGAAAUCUUUAGGAAUUGCCUGUUAAUUUUUGAAAAUCUGGAAAUACAAUUCUCCGAUCAAUUAGCGUCCUAUAAAUUUCUGUACAGCUAAUAAAAUCUGUAGUUUCUGA
rnacentral:lncRNA from 1 species